UACGUAGGGGGCAAGCGUUGUCCGGAUUCAUUGGGCGUAAAGCGCGCGUAGGCGGCUCGGAAAGUCGGGCGUGAAAUGCCGGGGCUCAACCCCGGGACUGCGUCCGAUACUUCCGAGCUGGAGGUAGGUAGGGGAGAUCGGAAUUCCUGGUGUAGCGGUGAAAUGCGCAGAUAUCAGGAGGAACGACCGGUGGCGAAGGCGGAUCUCUGGGCCUUACCUGACGCUGAGGCGCGAAAGCUAGGGGAGCGAACAGG
rnacentral:rRNA from 1 species